GACGAACGCUGGCGGCGUGCUUAACACAUGCAAGUCGAACGAUGAAGCCGGAGCUUGCUCUGGUGAAUUAGUGGCGAACGGGUGAGUAACACGUGAGUAACCUGCCCUUGACUCUGGGAUAACUGCGGGAAACUGUAGCUAAUACCGGAUACGACCCUCGGAGGCAUCUCCUGGGGGUGGAAAGAAUUUCGGUCAAGGAUGGACUCGCGGCCUAUCAGCUAGUUGGUGAGGUAAAGGCUCACCAAGGCGACGACGGGUAGCCGGCCUGAGAGGGUGACCGGCCACACUGGGACUGAGACACGGCCCAGACUCCUACGGGAGGCAGCAGUGGGGAAUAUUGCGCAAUGGGCGAAAGCCUGACGCAGCAACGCCGCGUGCGGGAUGAAGGCCUUCGGGUUGUAAACCGCCUUCAGCAGGGAAGAAGCCGCAAGGUGACGGUACCUGCAGAAGAAGCACCGGCUAACUACGUGCCAGCAGCCGCGGUAA
rnacentral:rRNA from 1 species